rnacentral:misc_RNA from 1 species
AAGACUAUAGACCUGCGGAGUACCUGCGGAGGGAUCAUUAUUGAAUAUUCUUGACGGGUUGUAGCUGGCCCUUUGGGGCAUGUGCACGCCUGUCUUGUUAUUCAUCCACCUGUGCACCUUUUGUAGUCUUGUGGGUUGAGAGCAGUCAACUAUCGGUCAAUGUCCGGAUGUGAGGAAUGCUGAGCGCGAAAGCAUACAGCUCUUCUCAAAUGACUUGCAAUACCUCUCCUUCAAGUGCUA